GCCCGUCUAUGCUGCUGCCUCGCGAAGCGACAACGCCAUCUUUUCUUCGAGCGACCGAGACGUUGGUCGACACGUCCUUUCGCCUCUGUUCCCUCCUCGGCCUGGGGUUACUGCGAAUCUGGCGCUGAAGACUGAAGCUGCUAACGUUAUAUUUGAAGCCAAGUUUCUGGCUUCUCCCAAGACCUUCAAGGAUCCAAUUGACCUCUGAAUCAGCUGUUAAGAAAAUGGGACAGCUAUAUUGCAUCAAUUGGUCUCCUACUUCAUUUGAUUCCACCAUCAUUACAAGGCUGCAAGGGAUCUGGAAAAAUGUCAUCCUGUCAAGCUGAAAAACAUCUUCAAAAAGGCACUAACAAGAACAGCUUGAUUGCAGAGAAGAGACCACACAGCCAUACACGCUCACUGAUGGGACAGUGAGGAACAUCAUUCAUGGAUGCUACACAACCUCAAAUCUACACGUCAUAUUUGUUCAUGUCUAGCGUUGAUGUUGCCGU